AGGAGGAACAACUCCAGUGGCUGCGGCAGCUCUGGAAACCUGGAUUCAGCUCCGGCAGUAACUACUCCGCCUGCAGGGCCUGGAGGCUCCGGGGCGGG
rnacentral:pre_miRNA from 1 species